CACGUAGGGGGCAAGCGUUGUCCGGAUUUAUUGGGCGUAAAGAGCGUGUAGGCGGCCGUACAGGUCAGCUGUGAAAACUCGAGGCUCAACCUCGAGACGUCGGUUGAAACCGUACGGCUAGAGUCCGGAAGAGGAGAGUGGAAUUCCUGGUGUAGCGGUGAAAUGCGCAGAUAUCAGGAAGAACACCCGUGGCGAAGGCGGCUCUCUGGGACGGUACUGACGCUGAGACGCGAAAGCGUGGGGAGCGAACAGG
rnacentral:rRNA from 1 species